UUAAAAUCAUUCCUUUCCCUGAAAGUUUCUUGAUCUCAUCCAUGUCAGGAUCUACAGCAACAACUGCAUCCGCCGAGGGGAGAACAAUCUGCGAGAAAGACGCAGAAAUAAAGAAUACAUACAAAGAGAUCGCCCUUGGCCGUCCUGCUGAUCUCCACCACAGACGCCCCGUUCAAGCAUUUAGCAACUGCCGGUAUGUCGCCGGCGCAGUUGAUGUCAGAAACGGGGAUGAUCGGAAAGUCUAGCUCGACGUAGAAAGUGUUAUCGGCUGCUUGGUCGUCGGGUAACUUUCUGGCACACAAAACCCCAGAGAGUGUGGAGAACUCCACCGUCUCGGUUCUCACCAAACCAUUUGAGAAGAGAUGGUGCGCCGCCGCUACAGUGGCGUGCCCACAUAGCUCCACCUGCAACGUAACGCACCUUUACUCUUAAUCUCAAUGAAUCACACACCCAAAUGCACCAUAAUCAAACCAAUUAUAUCCUGGGCAACCGAACAAGUUGGUCUAGUUAUUGACUUCAAAUUAUAUCAUGAACCAUGAUUUACCUUGCAUGGUAAAUCCUGGUCCAAAAAUAAUAUUCAGAUUAUGUGUCCGUAGUUGAUACAUUAUGGCCUGCUGUUUGGUAAAUGGUUGUUAGCUGAUUGGGUUGGCUGUUUGGAA